ACGUAGGGUGCGAGCGUUAAUCGGAAUUACUGGGCGUAAAGCGUGCGCAGGCGGUUUUGUAAGCCAGAUGUGAAAUCCCCGGGCUUAACCUGGGAAUGGCAUUUGGGACUGCAAGGCUAGAGUAUGGCAGAGGAGACUAGAAUUUCUGGUGUAGCAGUGAAAUGCGUAGAUAUCAGAAGGAAUACCGAUGGCGAAGGCAGGUCUCUGGGUCAAUACUGACGCUCAUGCACGAAAGCGUGGGGAGCAAACAGGAUUAGAUACCCUGGUAGUCCACGCCCUAAACGAUGUCAACUGGUUGUUGGGAGAUUUAUUCUCUUAGUAACGAAGCUAACGCGUGAAGUUGACCGCCUGGGGAGUACGGUCGCAAGAUUA
rnacentral:rRNA from 1 species